rnacentral:lncRNA from 1 species
AAGUUUCCUUUGAGAUAUAGAAAUAAAGAGAAAAGAGACAAAGAAAACUUUUAUUGGAAACUAUUGCUGAAGGUAUUAUUAUGACUUGGCCCAGUUAAUAAACUUUUCGAGAUUCUUUGAAGAUUCACCAUCCUUGACUGAUUUAUCCACGAACAAUUCCUGCAGUUUCAGUGAUCUUGCUUUUAUGUCUCCAUUCUCAAGAACUUGCUCCACCUUCUUCCUUAUCUCUUCCUUCAGUACUAAUCCAUUUUCAUCCUUGUCGAAUUUCAGACCAACCUUCCACACAUCACAAAUAUACAACCUGUUUAAAAAUUGGUCACUGAAAAAUGGUAAACACAAGAAAGGUGUGCCACUGCAUACACCCUCCAAAGUGGAAUUCCAACCACAGUGACUGAUGAAACAAGCUAUGGCAGGGUGGUUCAAUAUCUUUUUCUGAGGUGCCCAGUUCACAAUUUUACCUUUACUUCCAUGGAAUUCAUCAGGGUAUGCGUUGUUUACCUUGUCAUUAUCACCACUUGGACGAACAACCCAAAGAAAAGGCCUUUUCAGGAGAUCGAGACCUAGAGCUAGUUCUUUGAAUUGGUUUGGUUCCAAGAUUGCUAUACUACCAAAGGAAACAUAUACAACGGAUUCAGGUGGCUGCUGAUCCAACCAGGUUAGGCAAGUUGUGUCUUCUUCCCAGAAUGAGCUUUUGUUGGUGUCACUUUCCAUCAAUGGCCCAAUUGGGAGGAACUUUGGUGAUAUGGAAACUGCUCCAGGCUCAAGAUCAGAAGUACUGUUGCAGAGCCACCAUUCUCCAAACUCCAAGUUUUUCAUCUCUUUGACUAUAUGGGGGAAGAAUUUAUUAUCAAAGCCACCCCAUGGAAGGUCUUCAGCAUCCAUCACAGGCAUAUUUGGGGAAAGCUGAAUUUCUUGUUUUUUGGUUUGAACUCCUGCAUUUGCAAUGCCACAAGUUUCUCAAAUAUUCUCUUCAUGCGUUUCGCCUUUCUAAAUCAAAAGAUCAAAAC